AUACGGAGGGUGCAAGCGUUACUCGGAAUCACUGGGCGUAAAGCGCGCGCAGGCGGCUUGAUAAGUUGGAUGUGAAAGCCUACGGCUCAACCGUAGAACUGCAUCCAAAACUGUCAGGCUAGAGUGUGGGAGAGGAAGAUGGAAUUAGUUGUGUAGGGGUAAAAUCCGUAGAGAUAACUAGGAAUACCAAAAGCGAAGGCAAUCUUCUGGAACACUACUGACGCUGAGGUGCGAAAGCGUGGGUAGCAAACGGGAUUAGAUACCCUAGUAGUCC
rnacentral:rRNA from 1 species